UACGUAGGGUGCAAGCGUUUAAUCGGAAUUACUGGGCGUAAAGCGUGCGCAGGCGGUUUUGUAAGACUGUCGUGAAAUCCCCGGGCUCAACCUGGGAAUGGCGAUGGUGACUGCAAGGCUAGAGUUUGGCAGAGGGGGGUAGAAUUCCACGUGUAGCAGUGAAAUGCGUAGAUAUGUGGAGGAACACCGAUGGCGAAGGCAGCCCCCUGGGUCAAGAUUGACGCUCAUGCACGAAAGCGUGGGGAGCAAACAGG
rnacentral:rRNA from 1 species